AUUGAACGCUGGCGGCAUGCCUUACACAUGCAAGUCGAACGGCAGCACGGGAGCAAUCCUGGUGGCGAGUGGCGAACGGGUGAGUAAUAUAUCGGAACGUGCCCAGUAGUGGGGGAUAGCCCGGCGAAAGCCGGAUUAAUACCGCAUGAGACCUGAGGGUGAAAGCGGGGGAUCGCAAGACCUCACGCUAUUGGAGCGGCCGAUAUCAGAUUAGCUAGUUGGUGGGGUAAAGGCCCACCAAGGCAACGAUCUGUAGUUGGUCUGAGAGGACGACCAGCCACACUGGGACUGAGACACGGCCCAGACUCCUACGGGAGGCAGCAGUGGGGAAUUUUGGACAAUGGGCGCAAGCCUGAUCCAGCAAUGCCGCGUGCAGGAAGAAGGCCUUCGGGUUGUAAACUGCUUUUGUCAGGGAAGAAAUCCUCUGGGCUAAUACCUCGGGGGGAUGACGGUACCUGAAGAAUAAGCACCGGCUAACUACGUGCCAGCCGCCGCAGUAAAAC
rnacentral:rRNA from 1 species